UAGGUGUAUUGAUAGGUGCAAAUUUAUGCUCUUCAGAGAGCUGCAAAGUUCUUGGGACAGGCAUGAGAUCUCUUUUUUUUUUUUUUGGUUUUCAUUGCUGCUAUCAGAUUUGAGAGUUCUGGCUUUUUUGUUUGUUUAUUGGAUGAUAAUCCUGGGAAACUCAGAUCUACAUCCAUCAAUUGAACUUGUACGUUUGAACCUUCAGGUUCCUUUCAUAAAAAUGAAUAAUUUUAUGGCUUCGCCAAAAUAGUAGUGAAUCUUUUGGCCCCCAUCUUCACGAUCAUGGUCGUCAUUGAAGAAACACAUGCAUUUAAGAUCAAGGCCUUGCAAUUGUGGCAAAAGAUAAGCUGACAUGAACAUAUGUUCCAAGAACAUUUAUCAUGGCAGGAUUGAUUUUAUUCAAAUGUUAUGUUCAUCUUCAUCCAUGACUCCAUGUACUUUAUCAACUGAAAUUGACAGGAAAUGCAAUUCUAUUUAGAUGAUAUUGG
rnacentral:lncRNA from 1 species